rnacentral:tmRNA from 1 species
GCCCUUGCAGCCUGCCCCCGCGCCCCCUAUAUUCGUUCCGUCCGGGUUCGCCCGGACUAUGGACAUAAACGCGCUCGUAAUAAGCGGAUCGGACCCGGGGGCGGUACCCGGCGGCUCCACCAUCAUUCGCCUUCGUUGGGGGGAUAUGGGGCCGAAACAGGAUCGACGAACGUCUAAAAGGGUUUGCUUUGUCCCGGUGAGCGACCACCGUUAUCGGUGCAAAUUGUACAGUUGCCAACGACAACCGUGCUCCGGUGGCUCUGGCUGCGUAAGCAGCUCGGGUAACCGAAACCUAACUCCUUGCGCCUAGCAGCGUAAGGCGGGGCCCGCAGGAGCCUUGCAACAGAAUCCUGCACU